rnacentral:tRNA from 1 species
GUUAAGAUGGCAGAGCCAGGUAAUUGCAAAAGAUCUAAACCCUUUCAUCAGAGGUUCAACUCCUCUUCUUAAC